AGGACGAACGCUGGCGGCGUGCUUAACACAUGCAAGUCGAGCGGUAAGGCCUUUCGGGGUACACGAGCGGCGAACGGGUGAGUAACACGUGGGUGAUCUGCCCUGCACUCUGGGAUAAGCCUGGGAAACUGGGUCUAAUACCGGAUAUGACCUGCUCUCGCAUGGGGGGUGGUGGAAAGAUUUAUCGGUGCAGGAUGGGCCCGCGGCCUAUCAGCUUGUUGGUGGGGUAAUGGCCUACCAAGGCGACGACGGGUAGCCGACCUGAGAGGGUGACCGGCCACACUGGGACUGAGACACGGCCCAGACUCCUACGGGAGGCAGCAGUGGGGAAUUUGGACAAUGGGGGAAACCUGAUCAGCCAUCCCGCGUGUGCGAUGAAGGCCUUCGGUUGUAAGCACUUUGGCAGGAAGAAACGGCGUGACUAAUAUUCAGCGUCACUGACGGUACCUGCAGAAUAAGACACCGGCUAACUACGUGACCAGCAGCCGC
rnacentral:rRNA from 1 species